GGUGCCAAAGCUCAGUUGGUAGAGCAAAGGACUGAAAAUCCUUGUGUCCCCGGUUCGAUUCCUGGUGGCACCA
rnacentral:tRNA from 1 species